UGGUUGUCGUCAGCUCGUGUCGUGAGAUGUUGGGUUAAGUCCCGCAACGAGCGCAACCCUUGAUCUUAGUUGCCAGCAUUUAGUUGGGCACUCUAAGGUGACUGCCGGUGACAAACCGGAGGAAGGUGGGGAUGACGUCAAAUCAUCAUGCCCCUUAUGACCUGGGCUACACACGUGCUACAAUGGACAGAACAAAGGGCUGCAAGACCGCAAGGUUUAGCCAAUCCCAUAAAUCUGUUCUCAGUUCGGAUCGCAGUCUGCAACUCGACUGCGUGAAGCUGGAAUCGCUAGUAAUCGCGGAUCAG
rnacentral:rRNA from 1 species